GGGCGUAUGCUUCCGGCCACGUGGCUACGCGCACGCCCAAUGGGAAAGCUUGACGUCAGCCCCCGCUUCCUCACCCUGGCAACGGGCGGGUGACUACUUCCGGUGCUGUGAGGGCUCGGGGCUGAGGCGGGGUAAUUCCUCUCCUGCAGUUACUUUUGGAUGGAAGUAUGCACUUUUCCCAAUAGAAGAUGAUAAUCUCGGAGAAUGACCAUGGAGAAGGGGAUGAGUUCUGGAGAAGGGCUGCCUUCCAGAUCAUCUCAGGUUUCGGCUGUUAAAAUAACAGUCAAAGAGUUGGAAACAAAGCAGUCCCAUAAGGAGAAGCGAGGAGGCUUUGUGUUGGUACAUGCAGGUGCAGGCUAUCAUUCUGAAUCCAAAGCCAAGGAAUAUAAACAUGUAUGCAAACGAGCUUGUCAGAAGGCAAUUGAAAAGCUACAGGCUGGUGCUCUUGCGACAGAUGCAGUGACUGCAGCUCUAGUGGAACUCGAGGAUUCUCCUUUUACAAAUGCAGGAAUGGGAUCUAAUCUUAAUCUCUUGGGUGAAAUUGAGUGUGACGCCAGCAUAAUGGAUGGAAAAUCCUUAAAUUUUGGAGCUGUUGGAGCACUGAGUGGAAUCAAGAAUCCAGUCUCAGUUGCAAACAGACUCUUGUGUGAAGGGCAGAAGGGCAAGCUCUCUGCUGGCCGAAUUCCUCCCUGCUUUUUAGUUGGAGAAGGAGCCUACAGAUGGGCAGUAGAUCAUGGAAUACCCUCUUGCCCUCCUAACAUCAUGACCACAAGAUUCAGUUUAGCUGCAUUUAAAAGAAACAAGAGGAAACUAGAGCUGGCAGAAAGGGUGGAAACAGAUUUCAUUCAACUAAAGAAAAGAAGACAAUCAAGUGAAAAGGAGAAUGACGCAGGCACUUUGGACACAGUGGGCGCCGUAGUGGUGGACCACGAAGGCAACGUUGCUGCUGCUGUCUCCAGUGGAGGCUUGGCCUUGAAGCAUCCAGGGAGAGUUGGACAGGCUGCUCUUUAUGGAUGUGGAUGCUGGGCUGAAAAUACUGGAGCUCAUAAUCCCUACUCCACAGCUGUGAGUACCUCAGGAUGUGGGGAGCAUCUUGUACGUACCAUAUUGGCUAGAGAAUGUUCACAUGCUUUACAAGCUGAAGAUGCUCACCAGGCACUGUUGGAGACUAUGCAAAACAAGUUUAUCAGUUCACCUUUCCUGGCCAGUGAGGAUGGUGUGCUUGGAGGAGUGAUUGUUCUCCGAACUUGCAGAUGUUCUGCAGAGUCUGACUCCUCCCAAGAUAAGCAGACACUUCUAGUGGAAUUUCUGUGGAGCCACACGACAGAGAGCAUGUGUGUUGGAUAUAUGUCAGCCCAGGAUGGGAAAGCCAAGAUGACUGGAUUCUAUGAAGUCCUUGGUAUAUUAUGGAUCUAUCUCUCUAAAUACAGAUGACUGGAUUCUAUGAAGUCCUUGGUGUAUUAUGGAUAUAUUGAUUCAUUGACAUUGCUCCAAAGCAAUAAAAAGAAUAAACAGGAGAGAAUUCACCAUGUUGGCAAGAGCAUAAAUCUCCUCAGAGACUCACAUUUCAAGACUCCCUCCUGGUGCAGUGGCAGGACAGUCCGUGGCAAUCGAAGGUGGGGUUUGCCGCCUGGAGAGCCCAGUGAACUGACCCUUCAGGCUGAGCAGGAAGCGUCUGAGAGGCAUUUCAGAACCUGAGCUUUUCGGGGUUUUUAACUGAAGCUGGAUGUUUUAUCUUCACCGUUUUAUAAUUCCUGUUGCAGUCUCGUGCACCGCUUGCGACACUAGCGUGGCUGUAGUUAGUGCUCAGUGACAUGCAGGUCUUCGGCGGGUGAGCGGGACUGAAUGUGUGCAGUGUGUGUGUGUGUGUGUGUGUGUGUGUGUGUGCAGUGCGUGGGCUUGCUUCCCCCUUGAUGAAAUAGAAACUCCUUAUUGUGUAACCUAAGACCAGGAAUGAUUAAAUCAUCUUUACAGAAUGUGUGCUUUACUGUUUACAAGUAAAACCUAAAGAUGCAGGAAACAUUUUUGAUUUCAUAAAGAGGUACCAGCUGUCGUUGAUGUAUGUGUCUGAAGAGUCAAUCUACUUGUUUAAAUGAUUUGACAGUGGUAGUGCUCCAUUUAAUAACAGUAAUAAGUGAUAAAGUGUUUUUAUUUGUUAACCAGUUUAAGUGGAUCCUGUGGUAACUUAAACUGUUAUUCUCAUCCCUCAUAUGGGGCAUUUUUUCUUUAACAAAGAAUGGUUUCAGUGAAACAAUCUAGCAGAGAAUUAAGGUCAGAACCUUUUUAAAUAAUAGUCUUAUUGAUAAAGUUUGUACUUCUUUCCUCAAGCUUUUCUAAGCUUAAAUACUGCAUAUCUUCAAGCUAUAUGUACUAUAUUAUGAGAGAAUAUGUAAAGAGAACAUACGGUAAUGCACAGUCCUUAAUUUGUGUAUAAUGGAAUGUUAUUUACAAUGUAACACUGUAAAUAAGAAAUCAAAAUUUAUGGGAAAAUUCAA